CCGGAGGCCGCAGCGGGAGGCAGGCGCUCGGCUCGGCGCGCAGGAGAGCGGAGGCUGGCGAGCGGAGGAGCAGCAUGCGCAGGAGGAGACGCGGUUCGGCCCAGGAGCAGGUCCAUGCGAAGGGGGAGCAGCGCGGGUUCAAGGGUGGCGAGCGGCACGGGCUGGUGGGCCCAGGACGGCGCGCAGCGCUGGCGGCGCGGCUCGGCAGGAGUCCGAGCGGCGCGGCUCAGCCGGCGGGCGGCGCCAGCGGAUGCGGAGGCGCUGCGCGGACGCGCGGCCCAGGCGCGCGGGGGCGGCUCGGCCGGUGGGCCGUGGCAGCGGCCAGAUGUGCGGGCAACGCAGGGUGGCGUGCCCAGUGAGCUGGCGGCAUGCGGCACAGUGCGGGAGUGGGCAGCAGCUCGACGCGGAGGCUGGAGUUGAUGGCUUGCGCAGCGCGUGUGCAGGGCGACGCGAACAGGCGGCGUGCAGGACGCGUGCGAGCGCAGCAGGUGCGAGACUCGGGCGGAGGCGAGCAGCCCGGAGUGAGCAGUGGCGCGCGGAGUGACCCAGGCGUGCGGGUGAGGCAGCAGGCGUGCGCGGCGGCGGCACAGGAGCGGUCCGCAGGCGGUGCAGGAGCGAACAUGAGCGACGGCAGCACGGUGGCCGACUGCGGCUCGCGAGCGGAGGCGCGCGAGUAGGCGACAGCGUGCGCAGGGCGUUGACGUGGGUGAACGGCCGUGGCGCCGAAGUACUGGAGUAGACUUGGGAAUCGGCGGCGCAGACCUGGGUGAGUCCGAGCCACGGGACCGGCAGGAUGUGCAGAUGCGGCACGACAAGGCCGAGGCGACGCCGGUCCAGCAGAUGAGGAGGAAGAGGAGCAGCAGCACGAGGUGGUCGAGGCGGAAACAGCGGCGCGGAUUUGACAGCAGCUGAUCCGCAAACAGCAUGGCGUCUAGGGUUUCUUCCAGGGUUUGACCCCAUCGUAUCCCUCGCCAUAACUGCAACGAGCUACAGCAGAUGGAACCCGCCAUCACCGCCGGUGAGAAACCGAGGGCCUCUCUGCGAAACUCUUUUAUUAUUUUAUGUGUGCAAAGCAGCUAACUUGUAAAAUUCGUAGAAAAUUGUAGAAAAAUCAUAAAAAUACCAAACUAGUUUUGUUUGAAUCCUUAAGUAAUCCUCGACUACUUUUAUAUAGAAAGUUUAAGCUUUAUGUGUGUAGUUUUUGAUGUAAGUUAAAUACUAGGAAUUGAGUGUUUUAAUUGUAUCUCAUGUUAUGUGCAUGUGUUGUGGCUGAUUUUUGGAACUUAGGUUGUAUGUGAUGCAAUGUUUAGAUUUUCUUAAGGAUAUUUCUAUUAAUAAUUAUAUCUGAAUUUUAUACUCUAACUUCCUUUCGCAUGCGUAACCCAUAGUAAAAAUAUUAGGCUUAAUAUUAGGCUAUACCCUAAAUUAUGAAAUUAUGCUUAAUUUCAAAGAAAAUUUAUGAACAAUAGCUCUAGUUCAUAAAAAAUUAUGAGAAUAUUUUGAAGUGCUAUUCCUGAAUAGUGUAAUAUGUUCACAAAUUCUCAACUCAUGAUCAAGUGUAGGACAACUAAAAUAAAUAGAACUUGAUAUAAUAAUACCAUAUUUCUAAUUAAUCGAAGUAGGUCCAUAAUUAAUGAUAACCUAGAGUUAUUAAAAAUAAUUAGCUAGUCAAAUAAAUAAAGUUAUGGAAUGUAAUUAGUGUGAUUAAGUAAGAUAACCAGACAUGCUACUUAAUGUAGUUAAUUUAAAUGUUUGGCGUAAACGACCAUGUUACCUAAUGUAACUAGGAAGUUUACUUAAUACUCGAUAAAUGAUUGCCCAGUAAAAGAAUGAAUGAUAUGAUUGGUAAAUAGAAUGUGGUUUAUUUUGCAUUGUUGAUAAGUCGGAUAGUAUUAGCUUAUAAUUUAGUGGUGUUAAACCAUUUUACCUAAAAAGUAUGCAUUACAACUUGUAUGCCAUAUUGAUGUGAUAGAUCUGUGUGAUAUUUAGUAAUCCCUUUCACACGAGUGCUCAUGCCUUCUUUAGCUGCACAUCUAUCGGCACAAACCUAUCAACCACAUCCUCUUCAUUCUAGUUCCGCACUUGUGGUUCCAUCAGCCUAGACCAAGUGUAGUGUUCUGUUCCGCCUACUUCUUGUAACAGGUCUAACUGAAAUAACCCCAUCGGCCGUACGUCACUCAAUUGUUGUACUGACGUAAUCAAGCCGAUGCAACCACACCUAGUUACCUAGGAUAACACUUAAGCACAUCUCAUUUAGGCACAGCCAGUGCAAAGUAGAACAAUCAGCUACACGACUGAUAUGCCCCAAUAGAUGUAGGAAAACAUUAAGGCUGAAGGCUGGCUACACAGCUGACCCACCAGUCGGUGGAGUACGCCAAGACACAGACCAUACGGAUGCAUAAUUUGACUAGUCUACUAAUGUACCAUCGCCUAGUUACUCGCACUAAUUGACUAGCAUGCCGAUUCACAGAUCGACUAGAACACGUACACAAAUCGGCUCAACCAAUGUUCACACAAUCAACCAGUUUUGUUAAAGCAUAGGUCGGCUAUGCCAAUAUGCACGUGAUCGGCUAGGUAUGCCGAUACCCACAUAGAUUAGUUAAGACACAGCUGCUUUAGGAAAACCGAUGCACUUGUCAAUCGAUUACCCAGACCAAAGUACACAACCCUGGAUCAGUAAGAUCGCACAGUAGACACGCCUCUAUUAGGCACGACCAAAGCAUAUCUAUCGGCUAUACCUCCGUUGUUUUCAAUCGGCUCUGUUGUAACCCUCAACAAAUAGCUGAUCCUAAUUAGUUGUCCUCUUAAAACUCUAUCUAAGUUUAGUUCAGAUCUUUCUGGUUAAUAUGUAAGUAGUAUGUUAUAUAAGUGCUGGAUUGCAAUUGUAUUAUGAAGUAAGGUAGUUUUAUGUGCACAUUUUGAAUGAAAUGUUGCAUUGCAUGUAGAUACGAUUACUUCGACUAUGGUACCUACGAGAUCUCCCCGGAGUCUACGGAGGAUAUUUCUGAAGACCAAGUGAACGUCACCAGGGAAUUAACUAAAGUCCUGAACCAAAGUUCAGAAGAUAUUGACAUUUCUGACUUCAGUCCCACCAGUAAAGGCAAGCCCCGGACAUAACCUACUAUUUUAUUACACUGCAAUCUAUAUCUAUUUACGUAUUCUAUGCAUUAAGUUCUUAGGAAUUGCUUGAAACCCUAGUUGCAUUCUCCUAGGAACCAAUGUGAUGGAUACUAGCUCUUGAGUCUGACUAGCUGCUAUGCUUAUAGGACUGGUAGAAGUCGGGUGAUUUCCUGUCACUCGCGCGACAUAGGAAUUGUAAUGUUUACAUUCCUGUUAUCACUAUAAGGAUGACGGACGGGAGUUUGUGAGGUAUCAUGAUUGAGAUGAUACCCCGUCUGUGUUGUUGAAUUGGAUAAGGUCGCAGUGUGUGGUAGCGGUGGUUAAGCGUUUGAAAGUACUAGCCACAUGAUGUGAAAUAUGGUAAGCGGUAAGACUAGUAACCAAUCGGCCCGAGGAGUGGACAUACCCCCCACCACAUGUAUUUGCUUCUUUUGGUUACUUUGUUCGACGUGUAGGAAUACGUGUUGCUGGGCAACCAGGAGUACGGGUUUUGUAGUCGCGCUACAGACGUACGUCCUUCACUUUGGAAGUGCGUAUGGUCCUGCAGUCGCUUGUGGUGGAUCUAAUCCACGAGUCGGAAUGAAAGGUAAACGGUUGCUUCGUGUCACACCCUAAAAUAUUUAAUUUUAGGAUGUGACUAACUUUUACAAUAUGUUCAUCUAUCAAUAAGAUUUUUCGAGAAUUUUAAAGAUUUUUCUGGCAAUUAUUCUAUUUAUCUUAGAGCUGGAAAUUUUUGGGAUUCUUCCGAAUAUAUUUUUCGUGGUUUGAAAUAUUUAUCUGGACUUUUCUAGAUUUAUUUAAACUUGAAAAUAUGUUUUGGAAAAUAUUUCUAUUUUGAUUUUCAUCGCAGUCGGACCGAGCCGUAUCUCGUUGUACGUCCUUUUAACCUUGUCCUCUCUGAAUCUUUAAGAUGUCCCUUCGAGCUCCCGAUCCUCUAACCGUUUCCCCCGAUCAAGUCAUGCUUGAAAACGACGCCUCGUGGCUCGUCUUCAGUGUUUUUUCGACGAUGUUCGAUCGCCGUCAGCCCCAACGACUCGGCUUGAUCCCUUCCUUCUCUUUUCGCGCUUCCGAAUAAAUGGUUCACGUUCAACCAGCCCUGUCAGCUUGUUUUCGUGUUCAGCCCUCACCCGAUCCUGUUUCGGCCCAUAACCGAAUCCCUCGACCUCGCAUCGGUCCCCUGCUCGUUAAAUUGUGGGACCCGCUGGUUAGCCCUAUCUCAUCUCUCCCAUGGGCAAUCUGGACUCAGGAAUGAGUCCCAGCCCGAUGCGCCGCUAUGUCCUUACCCUCGUUCGAGUUGGAGUCCAGCAUGAUAUCUGCAGGCCUAUUUAAAUAUGUCUUGCACCAUCUGUUUCUCCAGUAGCCGGCCCUAAUUUUUCUCCCCUACGUCGGCUCCUGCGUGCUCUAUAAAUUCUCACGUAACCCUUGCCCCCUGUGCGUCGCUUUUCCUCCCUGCACGCCGUCGCCCAGAUUCCCUCCCGUUCUUCUCCUCCAGGCGCCUAAACCCUACUCCUUUUCCCCCUGCGCCACGCCAAUCCCCCUGCCGCCCCUGGUUCCUGCAUGGGCCCUGCACUUCCCCCUGCCCGUGCCCGUCCCGAGCACAGCCAUCGGCCCUGCGCCUCCACCCCUGUGCGCCGCCGUCGCCCAGUGCCCCCUUGCGCUCCCUCCUGCUGCCGCCGCCUAGGCCUCCCUGCCGAGCGCCCAGGAAACCAGGAUCGCCGUCGCCUGAGCCCCUGCCCAGUGCCACCGUCCCUGUACCCGUGCAUGCCCGGCCUGGCCCCUGCGCACAUUGACCCUUUAUCCCAGCGCCUCGCUCUUCCCCCUGCAGCGCCACCCUGGCCCCUGCAUCACGCCCCACUGCAGGCCGGCCCUGCCAUGCGCUCACCCCCUGUGGCGCCCUUGCCCCAGACCAGCCGCCCGGAACAGAAACAAGCGCAGGCUACCCAGAAAACAGAGGGACAGAACGGCCGGCGCAUCUUCCUCCGCAAAAUUCGAUCACCUCGAUGCGUCCCUGUGGUAAGUUAGGUAUGGAUUGGAAUCCCCUCGUCGUCCUCUUUCAUUUGCCCCGCUUCCCGCGACCUCUCGUGGCCUAAAUCGCCGGCAAUUUGAUCUACAGUACCCACUGGUCACCAUGGGAGGCUGUUUCAAGCUUUUUCAGAUUAGGUCCCUGGAAGAUUCUGUAAUUACCGUGAAAAUUUCUGUGUCUUGCAAAAAUUGCAGAAAACCCCCUAGAUCUUUUCCAUCUUUUCAAUCCAGCCCCACCAUGGAAUUUUUCAGGUCUAACCCUAAUCUUUUAUGUAUUUGUGAGCCCUAUUUUCUGUGUCUUGUAUUUCUUUUCAGCUAACCCUUGAAGUCUAUAGUUAAUUGCAUAUAGGUCCCUGCAGCGCUGUUUUAUGCGUAGUUUCCGCGUUUUAGAUCCGUUUCGAUCCGUUCUUUUUGCGUUAGUCUUCUAAAACCCGAAGCUAUCGUUUAGUAGCGUUGUUGUGUCAUAAUUCCUGUUUUUAAAAUUAAAUAUCAAUUUAAUUUGAAUAAUAUCCUCUCAUCUAGUUUUCCGAAAUAAAAUCCAAUUAAGUCUUUUCUCUGGUUUUCAUAAGUAAUGUUAACUCAAUUAAUAUCAACUUAAAUGUGUUUGUAAUUUAAUUUGUAUAGUUCAACUCGAAUCAUAAGGUUAUGCGUUUAGAUGUUCUCACAAGUUUUCUUUUCUAAUUAAUUAUUUAAUUAGUGUAAUUUGUACACAGAGAAUUGUAUAUAAAAUUUGACUAAGUUCUACUUCGUCUUUAUAAAUGCAAAUAUAAUAUGAGUUAAUUAUAAUUAGGGAUAUUCUCUUUUGAAUAUCUUUUACAUUGGUUUUCUAAAUUAAAAUAAAUGAAAGCCUAUAGUUCUUUAUUUCUUUUUAAUAUAAAUCUCCCGAUAGCUGUAUCUUUUCAACCCUAGCUCCGUUUUCCGCGUUUCUUUCUUUCUCGUGACCGUAGCAACGAGCUCUAUUCUUUAGUUCGCUCUUUUAAAGCUUUUCUUUUGUUUGUUGUAUCUGUUCUUAGUCGUUCUUGUUUGUUUGCUUGCUUGUAUGUUUUGGGCCCGUUGCUUGUGUGAUGUUAGAAGGAGCAUGAUCCAAGAGCUUUGAAGAUUUAGAGUUUCAAGAACAAGAGUUGAAGACUCUGAGCAGCUAUUCUCUAAAAGAAAGGCAAGUGUUUCCUUGAUCAUGCUUUUGUCCUAAUAAUCACAAUAAAUACAACAUUUUCUUUAUAUGCAUGCAUGUGUCCUAAUUUUGAUGGAUCCUAAUUAAGGAUAUGCCUAGUCUUUAUGAUCAUUCCUUGUCAACCUGGGUUUUACCUUUUUGUUGGGUAGCUAUUGCUUAGUUGCUGUAACUGGUUCUGGUUUGGGAAUAAUAUAAAACCAUGAUGGCAACAAUGAUGAUGCUACACCUAUUUUUAUCCAUGUUCAUGCUCUUGGUGAUGUUAAUCACAAGAUUAUAUAUUUUAAUUGGAACAUGGAGAACCACCCAGGAAAACAGUGCAACCACAAUACUAUAUGGCUCUGGUCUUGGCUGAUUAAUUAGAAACACUAGCUUAUGACGAUCUUACCGAAAGGGCAAGAGGGGUUGCAUCGUCGGGGUAUAGCUCGGUCCUCUUGAGGGUAUGAUAUGGUCCUGGGUAAGGCGUCUGCCUCAUUAGGGAGAGUUAUGACAGUUUUGACUUGAAACCUCAGCGGAUUGUCAUGAGUUAGGGAAUCUUUGUAAAGGCCUCGUAGUGAAUCCCUUGCCACUCACCUCGGAAGUGUUUAAGAGGCUAGCUACCUCUGGCAAAUCGGGAGACAUGAAUUGUGGGUAAAGUGUACAACCUCUGCAGAGUGAAAACUGAUAUAUCAGCCGUGCUCACGGUUACGAGCGGCUUGGACCCUCACAUGAUAAUUAAACUUGAAGAUGAAUUAAAUUGUGGACCAUGGCUAUGGUUAUGGUUAUUGUGGACCAUGUUUAUGGUUGUGGUUAUGCUUAUGCUGUAUCUCUUCUCUCUCUUUUAAUGUGGGUUUUGGUACGAACUUAUACCUUAGUAAUCAGGUGCUAAUAAAACUUGACCAACUAAAAUUGCUUAUCGCAGUAAGCCAGUCAGCCUUUCCUUGAUUUUGGCCUUCAUGUCAUAUAAUUCCCAACACUUGCUGAGUACCAACCAUAAGUGUACUCACGCUUGUUAUAAUUGCUGCUCAGAGGAGAAAGUGAUGUGAAGUCUUUUGAAAAUGAUGCUGAGUUCUAGGCCAGCGCAACCCCCGGUCGAUUGCCUGUGAAGUUUGGAGUCUUCGUUUCCAGGAUAAGCUGUAUAACUCUGAUAAUUUUUAUAGUCUUUUAAUUCUCUUUUCGUGAUACUGUUGCUGAUUAUUCACUAAUGAAGUCACUAUAUGUAUGAAUUUGAUCCUGGCAUACAUAUAGUUAUGCAUUCAGUUUUGUCUUUAAAAACCGGGUGUGACACUUCGGAACGACCCUGUGGUGUUCCAAGCGUGUGAGUUAGGUUUACCUUGCAAGGUUGAAUCUCGAUUCAGGAAUCGUCCGCCUCUCACGAUGAAUGAGACUGCUUAUCCCCUUUAUCACAAAGAGUUACAAGAGUAACUAUAUGAUGAGUAAUGUUGAUGGUUGAUAUAAAGAGCUCUACCUUGCUUGCUUAGUUAUAAGUGCUUAUCUAGAAUGGAUAAUCACAUAGAACUUGAAAGCUAAAAAUUGAAAUUAAGGAUCUACUCUUAGUUGCUUUUCAGCUGAAACUAAACCCAGAACUAUUAUAAGCUUUCAUAAGUCUAGUUAUGGGCUAAAGUAUACCCAAUUCCGGGUAAGCCUUGCUGAGUAUUAGUAUACUCAGCCUUGCUAGCUAUAUGUUUUGCAGGUAAUGUCUGGAAAACCCUACUCUUUCCUUGCCUUAGCCCUGUACUCUUUCAGAAGGUUGGUCCGUGGAAUGGGGUCCGUCCCCGACCAACAUUGGUGAUACCGAGUGAUGUCGUGCCCGGGCUUAGCAUGACAUCCAUCUUGACGACGUGCUGUAAAUCAUCGCGUAUGUUUUCCGCUGCCAAAAACCAUAGCUUUAACAGUUGUAAUCUUUUCUCUAAAUUUGAAACUUCGUACUUCUUUUGGAAACUUUUGUAAUGUAAUUCUCUGUGAUGUAAAAUGUAAUGGUGACUGUAUCUCCGGACUCACCUUCAUGUGAGGUAACCUUAUUUGAUCCUGUGUAUCGGUGGUUUAUCGGGACGUUACCCGACAGGCC
rnacentral:lncRNA from 1 species